CGAUUUUAGUCGGCUCAGUCGAGACGAGGUCAUCACGCUGCCAAGGCUUGCAGUUGAGACCCCCCACCAGCCGUCGGCCCCUGCGAUUUCUCUGAAGCCCAGGAGAGAGCCGGCGCCUUGGGGCGGGGGUGCCCGCAGAGUGAGCGUGCUGGACCCGGUGUUCCUGGCUCAGCGGAGGGUUUCUCUAGCCAGGCAGCGGGCGAAGGAAGGCGAGCGGGCGACAGCCACGGA